UACGAAGGGGGCUAGCGUUGCUCGGAAUUACUGGGCGUAAAGGGAGCGUAGGCGGACAGUUUAGUCAGAGGUGAAAGCCCAGGGCUCAACCCUGGAAUUGCCUUUGAUACUGACUGUCUUGAGUGUGGGAGAGGUGUGUGGAACUCCGAGUGUAGAGGUGAAAUUCGUAGAUAUUCGGAAGAACACCAGUGGCGAAAGGCGACACACUGGCCCGAU
rnacentral:rRNA from 1 species